rnacentral:rRNA from 1 species
CUACGUGCCAGCAGCCGCGGUAAUACGGAAGGUCCAGGCGUUAUCCGGAUUUAUUGGGUUUAAAGGGAGCGUAGGCUGGAGAUUAAGUGUGUUGUGAAAUGUAGACGCUCAACGUCUGAMUUGCAGCGCAUACUGGUUUCCUUGAGUACGCACAACGUUGGCGGAAUUCGUCGUGUAGCGGUGAAAUGCUUAGAUAUGACGAAGAACUCCGAUUGCGAAGGCAGCUGACGGGAGCGCAACUGACGCUUAAGCUCGAAGGUGCGGGUAUCGAACAGGAUUAGAUACCCUGGUAGUCCGCACAGUAAACGAUGGAUGCCCGCUGUUGGUACUUGGUAUCAGCGGCUAAGCGAAAGCAUUAAGCAUCCCACCUGGGGAGUACGCCGGCAACGGUGAAACUCAAAGGAAUUGACGGGGGCCCGCACAAGCGGAGGAACAUGUGGUUUAAUUCGAUGAUACGCGAGGAACCUUACCCGGGCUUGAAUUGCAGAGGAAGGAUUUAGAGAUA